rnacentral:lncRNA from 1 species
AUGAGAAAACAGAUACACCUGCAUGGAAAUUACCCACUAAAGAGGCCAAUUCUGGUCCUGCCUGCUGCGGAGGCUCCCCAGGAGACCCCUAGUCUCAGGAUUUGUAGCUGUGUGCUCCAUCACUCGCAGACACAUGAACAGCAUGUCUCCUUCCAGAUUAAGAAACUGAAACUAAAACAACUGAACUGACUUGCCCAGGGUCAUACGGAUGAGCUGUGGUAUAGCUAGCUGGGAAUUAAUCAAUAGAAAUUAUAGCUGAGAGAAUCUCCGUUCUCAUGCAAUUCAAAAGUUUCAUUUUAUAAAUAAAGAAACUGACACCAGAAAGAAAAAGGACA